GCAUAUCAAUAAGCGGAGGAAAAGAAACCAACAGGGAUUGCCUUAGUAGCGGCGAGUGAAGCGGCAAAAGCUCAAAUUUGAAAUCUGGCACCUUCGGUGUCCGAGUUGUAAUUUGAAGAUUGUAACCUUGGGGUUGGCUCUUGUCUAUGUUUCUUGGAACAGGACGUCACAGAGGGUGAGAAUCCCGUGCGAUGAGAUGCCCAAUCCUAUGUAAGGUGCUUUCGAAGAGUCGAGUUGUUUGGGAAUGCAGCUCUAAGUGGGUGGUAAAUUCCAUCUAAAGCUAAAUAUUGGCGAGAGACCGAUAGCGAACAAGUACAGUGAUGGAAAGAUGAAAAGAACUUUGAAAAGAGAGUGAAAAAGUACGUGAAAUUGUUGAAAGGGAAGGGUUUGAGAUCAGACUCGAUAUUUUGUGAGCCUUGCCUUCGUGGCGGGGUGACCCGCAGCUUAUCGGGCCAGCAUCGGUUUGGGCGGUAGGAUAAUGGCGUAGGAAUGUGACUUUGCUUCGGUGAAGUGUUAUAGCCUGCGUUGAUGCUGCCUGCCUAGACCGAGGACUGCGA
rnacentral:rRNA from 1 species